GACGAACGCUGGCGGCGUGCUUAACACAUGCAAGUCGAGCGGUAAGGCCCUUCGGGGUACGACGAGCGGCGAACGGGUGAGUAACACGUGGGUGACCUGCCUCUAGCUCUGGGAUAAGCCUGGGAAACUGGGUCUAAUACCGGAUAUGACUCCACGGCGCAUGUUGUGGGUGGAAAGCCUUGUGUGGCUAGAGAUGGGCCCGCGGCCUAUCAGCUUGUUGGUGGGGUGAUGGCCUACCAAGCGACGACGGGUAGCGGCCUGAGAGGCGACCGGCCACACUGGGACUGAGACACGGCCCAGACUCCUACGGGAGGCAGCAGUGGGGAAUCUUGCGCAAUGGGCGAAAGCCUGACGCAGCGACGCCGCGUGAGGGAUGACGGCCU
rnacentral:rRNA from 1 species